rnacentral:rRNA from 1 species
GACGGAGGAUGCAAGCGUUAUCCGGAAUUAUUGGGCGUAAAGCGUCCGCAGGUGGCUGUUCAAGUCUGCUGUCAAAGCGCAGAGCUUAACUCUGUACAGGCGGUGGAAACUGAAGAGCUAGAGUAUGGUAGGGGUAGAGGGAAUUCCCGGUGUAGCGGUGAAAUGCGUAGAUAUCGGAAGGAACAUCAGUGGCGAAAGCGGCUUCCUGGACCAGUACCGACGUUCAGGCACGAAAGCGUGGGGAGCAAACAGG